rnacentral:rRNA from 1 species
UAGGGAAUCUUCGGCAAUGGGGGCAACCCUGACCGAGCGACGCCGCGUGAGUGAAGAAGGUUUUCGGAUCGUAAAGCUCUGUUGUAAGAGAAGAACGUGUGUGAGAGUGGAAAGUUCACACAGUGACGGUAACUUACCAGAAAGGGACGGCUAACUACGUGGCCAG